GAUGAACGCUGGCGGCGUGCCUAAUACAUGCAAGUCGAGCGAACAGACGAGAAGCUUGCUCCUCUGACGUUAGCGGCGGACGGGUGAGUAACACGUGGAUAACCUACCUAUAAGACUGGGAUAACUUCGGGAAACCGGAGCUAAUACCGGAUAAUAUAUUGAACCGCAUGGUUCAAUAGUGAAAGACGGUUUUGCUGUCACUUAUAGAUGGAUCCGUGCCGCAUUAGCUAGUUGGUAAGGUAACGGCUUACCAAGGCGACGAUGCGUAGCCGACCUGAGAGGGUGAUCGGCCACACUGGAACUGAGACACGGUCCAGACUCCUACGGGAGGCAGCAGUAGGGAAUCUUCCGCAAUGGGCGAAAGCCUGACGGAGCAACGCCGCGUGAGUGAUGAAGGUCUUCGGAUCGUAAAACUCUGUUAUUAGGGAAGAACAAAUGUGUACGUAACUAUGCACGUCUUGACGGUACCUAAUCAGAAAGCCACGGCUAACUACGUG
rnacentral:rRNA from 1 species